CCCUUAGAUGUCCUGGGCCGCACGCGCGUUACACUGAUGCAUUCAACGAGCUUAUAACCUUGGCCGAGAGGCCUGGGCAAUCUUGUUAACGUGCAUCGUGAUAGGGAUAGAUUAUUGAAAUUAUUAAUCUUGAACGAGGAAUUCCUAGUAAACGCAGAUCAUCAAUCUGCAUUGAUUACGUCCCUGCCCUUUGUACACACCGCCCGUCGCACCUACCGAUUGGAUGGUCCGGUGAGCCAUUCGGACUUUCAUCAUGCUGGUUUCCAGUUUUGAUGAAGGAAAGUCUUGCGAACCUUAUCAUUUAGAGGAAGGAGAAGUCGUAACA
rnacentral:rRNA from 1 species